CCUACGGGUGGCAGCAGUGAGGAAUAUUGGUCAAUGGCCGAGAGGCUGAACCAGCCAAGUCGCGUGAGGGAAGACGGCCCUACGGGUUGUAAACCUCUUUUGUCGGGGAGCAAAGCGAACCACGUGUGGUUCAUUGAGAGUACCCGAAGAAAAAGCAUCGGCUAACUCCGUGCCAGCAGCCGCGGUAAUACGGAGGAUGCGAGCGUUAUCCGGAUUUAUUGGGUUAAAAGGGUGCGCAGGCGGAGGUGCAAGUCAGCGGUCAAAUUGCGGGGCUCAACCCCGUACUGCCGUUGAAACUGCAUCCCUUGAGUGCGCGAGAAGUAUGCGGAAUGCGUGGUGUAGCGGUGAAAUGCAUAGAUAUCACGAAGAACCCCGAUUGCGAAGGCAGCCUGCCGCAGCGUUACUGACGCUGAAGCUCGAAAGCGCGGGUAUCGAACAGGAUUAGAUACCCUGGUAGUC
rnacentral:rRNA from 1 species